rnacentral:tRNA from 1 species
AUUCAAAUAGUUUAAUUUAUAAAAUUUUAGUUUGUGGAUCUAAAGAUAUAUUAUUAUUUUGAAUA